rnacentral:rRNA from 1 species
UACGGAGGGUGCAAGCGUUAUCCGGAUUCACUGGGUUUAAAGGGUGCGUAGGAGGGCAGGUAAGUCAGUGGUGAAAUCUCCAAGCUUAACUUGGAAACUGCCGUUGAUACUAUCUGUCUUGAAUAUUGUGGAGGUGAGCGGAAUAUGUCAUGUAGCGGUGAAAUGCUUAGAUAUGACAUAGAACACCAAUUGCGAAGGCAGCUCACUAAGCAAAUAUUGACGCUGAGGCACGAAAGCGUGGGGAUCAAACAGG